AAAUAUGAAGCGAUUGAUUGCAAUUAGUUUCGGCCUAAUCUUAGGUGAUUUCACCCAUAUUUU
rnacentral:tRNA from 1 species